CCUACGGGAGUCAGCAGUGGGGAAUAUUGCACAAUGGGGGAAACCCUGAUGCAGCGACGCCGCGUGAGUGAAGAAGUAUUUCGGUAUGUAAAGCUCUAUCAGCAGGGAAGAAAUAGCGACCUUUAGGUCGCCAGACGGUACCUGAUUAAGAAGCCCCGGCUAACUACGUGCCAGCAGCCGCGGUAAUACGUAGGGGGCAAGCUUGCUCCGGAUUUACUGGGUGUAAAGGGCGCGUAGACGGCAGCGCAAGUCUGAAGUGAAAUGCCGGGGCUUAACCCCGGAACUGCUUUGGAAACUGUGCAGCUAGAGUGCAGGAGAGGUAAGUGGAAUUCCUAGGGUAGCGGUGAAAUGCGUAGAGAUUAGGAGGAACACCAGUGGCGAAGGCGGCUUACUGGACUGUAACUGACGUUGAGGCUCGAAAGCGUGGGGAGCAAACAGGAUUAGAUACCCUGGUAGUC
rnacentral:rRNA from 1 species